rnacentral:rRNA from 1 species
UACAGAGGUCUCAAGCGUUGUUCGGAUUCAUUGGGCGUAAAGGGUGCGUAGGCGGCGCGGUAAGGCGGGUGUGAAAUCUUGGAGCUUAACUCCGAAACUGCAUUCGAUACUGCCGUGCUUGAGGACUGGAGAGGAGACUGGAAUUUACGGUGUAGCGGUGAAAUGCGUAGAUAUCGUAAGGAAGACCAGUGGCGAAGGCGGGUCUCUGGACAGUUCCUGACGCUGAGGCACGAAGGCCAGGGGAGCAAACGGG